ACCUCGAUGACUCUCCCGGCACCUGCGGGAAACCACAAGUCUUUGGGUUCCGGGGGGAGUAUGGUCGCAAGGCUGAAACUUAAAGGAAUUGACGGAACCACCAGGAGUGGAGCCUGCGGCUUAAUUUGACUACACGGGGAAACUUACCAGGUCCGGACAUAGGAAGGAUUGACAGACCGAUAGCUCUUUCUUGAUUCUAU
rnacentral:rRNA from 1 species